rnacentral:rRNA from 1 species
UGGGGAAUAUUGGGCAAUGGGCGAAAGCCUGACCCAGCAACGCCGCGUGAAGGAAGAAGGUCUUCGGAUUGUAAACUUCUUUUAUGAGGGACGAAGGACGUGACGGUACCUCAUGAAUAAGCCACGGCUAAAUACGUGCCAGCAGCCGCGGUAAUACGUAGGUGGCAAGCGUUAUCCGGAUUUACUGGGUGUAAAGGGCGCGUAGGCGGGGAUGCAAGUCAGAUGUGAAAUCUAUGGGCUCAACCCAUAAACUGCAUUUGAAACUGUAUCUCUUGAGUGCUGGAGAGGUAGAUGGAAUUCCUUGUGUAGCGGUGAAAUGCGUAGAUAUUAGGAGGAACACCAGUGGCGAAGGCGGCUUUCUGGACGACAACUGACGCUGAGGCGCGAAAGUGUGGGGAGCAAACAGG